GCUAAGUUUGUUCUGGGUAUAAGCUUUCGUGUGUGUAUCUGAAGAAGUAUGCAUGCACACGAAAGCUUAUACCCAGAACAAACUUAGU